ACCGCCACUCGAAAAAAUCCCCCACGCCCUCCCAAUUUCAGCUCACCCCAGCCGCGCCACCGCAGAGCCGAUUCGUCCCCUGUUGCGCGCUCCCAUAGUAGAUCCAGCACCACUGCACCUCCACCCGGCUUGCCCACCGCCCUCGCCCGAUUCGAGCUAGCGGCCGCAGUUCCGCCGACCGAUUAAAGCUAGCGGGCGCACCGCAUGUCGGUUCCGCCGCUCGAUGUCCUCGUGAACCCAAGACGCAACAUGGCGCACCGAAGAUGCUCGCCGAUAUGGGAACAAGACGAUUCGUCCGACGAAGAACUUGCUAUUGAGGUACAAGAGAACAUCUCGAUGGUAUUGGCUUGGCGAGCCAAUAAAAAGCGGAAGCGCGGUGGUUCGGUUUAUGGUAGACAGAAGUUGUGGAGGAAAUGUAUCAAAGGCCACAACAAGUUGAUGCGGAUAUAUUUCAACGAAAAUUCGACAUUUCCCGAGAACUACUUUCGUCGGCAUUUUCGUAUGCACAUCGACUUGUUCAAGCGCAUUGCCACGGAGGUGACAAAGUAUAAUCGGUUUUUUGAGCAAAGGGAAAUGCCGCCGGAGAAUUUGGGCAUAGCACCUACCAGAAGGUGACCGCCUUGCACAUGUUGCCUUACAGUAUUCCGCCGGAUUUAGUUGAUGACCAUUUGGCUACGGGUGAGAGUCAAGUUA